GCGGGCGUGGUGGAACGGUAGACACGCAAGGUUUAGGACCUUGUGGCUGUAAAGCUAUGGGGGUUCAAGUCCCUCCGCCCGCA
rnacentral:tRNA from 1 species